rnacentral:rRNA from 1 species
AACGAAAGAGCAACUGUCUCGUCAGAUAAAAAUAAAAAUUAACCUUUAGGUGAAGAGGCCUAAAUACAACAAAAAGACAAGAAGACCCCGCAGAGUUUAGGUUUUAUCUCUCAAUAUGCAUUUUGUAACAAACCCCCACAUUAUUAGUACUACAACCUUGGCUGGGGCGGCCGAGGAGAAAAAUCCUCCAUCUUCUUUAAAGGCUAUUAACCAAUCAAACUUUGACCCUCCCAUGAUCUUAAGACAAAACUACCUCGGGGAUAACAGAUUAAUCUUUCUUGAGAGUUCACAUUGACAGAAAAGUUUGACACCUCGAUGUUGGCUUAGGGCACCCAAAAAGUAUGCAGCAGCUUUUAUUUUGGUAGGUUUGUUCAACCUUUAAAGCCCU